UCACAGCCCUGAGAUUUCCGCCCAUAAUCCAAGGCCACAAACACCUGGCGUUCAGCCACACCCACACAGUCCCAGGCCAAACCUCAGGUGCUCUGUGAAUCUCUUGACUGCCCUGACCAUGCCCCUGACUCUACUCAUAGCUGUUAGGUUCACUAUGAAUCCCUCUGACCCUGCCCAGACUCCGCCCAUAGCCCUUGGCCCCGCCCAUAAAGACUUUACCUGAUUCCUGCCUUGGCCCCGCCCUAGCCCUGCCCAAUUCCCCACAGCCCCGCCCCUAGUGCCAGGCCACACUCAUAGCCAUGGCUCCACCUCCGACCCUGUGACCCCGGCUCCUCCCCCAUGUGACUCAGAGGAUCUUCUACACAGUGAACCAGUCAUGGUCUGGGAUGAUCUUGCGGGAGGAGCUGAGGCACAGCUGCUUCCUGCAGGCCAGCCAGACAUCAACCGCAUAACAUUCGUUCUUGUUCUUCUCCUGUGAGCAUUUCUAUGUCAUCUACUGCAAGUUCUGGGAGCUCGACCUGGACGGCGACCUCGCCAUAGACUGCCAUCUCUUCCUGGAUGAUAGACUGCGUCUUCUCUCUCCGGUGCUGUCACCCAGUGAGCAGCCUGGGAGGGCGCAGCCCCUGUGCAGUGCCAGGAAGCUGGGCUAUGCUGAACUCAUGUGGUGCCUGCUCUCAGAGGAGGACAAGAUCACGUGAGGGGCGGUGCCCCAGUCAGCCAUGCCUCCUGCUUGCUCCUUACCUCGCUUCUCUGUGGUCACGCCCACCAACUCUGGCUUCACCCUGACAUGGCCACGCCUAUAGGAUGCUCUGUCUCCGCCCCCCCCCCCCCCCCCCCCGCUUGAUCCUGGCUGACUGACCCCAACCACCGAUGCUAUGACCCCCACCUCAUGAACUCUGACCCUGAUCUCAUGACCCCGCCACCGUGACCCUGCUGACCUCUGACCCCUGAUCCUGCCCACAGACACCAUGAUCUCUGACCCUUACCCCUUGCCUCCACUCCUUGACUGUGACCCCGCCCAUUGACCCGCCCCCGUGACCUCUGACCCCCCAACCCCACCCACCCCCGCAGCACUGAGUACUGGUUCCGCUGCGUGGUGGUCGAGCUCGAGUUCUAUGAGGAGCAGGCCUGGCACAUGGCCCCCCAAGGCAUGGAGCUCCUCCUUUUCUGCCACCUCACGCACCAGGUGCUCGACCUCUUCGCCCCGAGCCCAGUGAGCAGACGGCUAGGAUCCCGGCCACGGGCAACCUCUGACCCUGUGGGGGACUCCUGACCCCUAGGGUUAGCCUGUAAAUUCCAGGGUGACCUCUGACACUACCUCCCCAUUGUAAGCUCAGGUUGCUUUGUGGGUGACCCCUGACCCCAGGUGACAACACGGGCGACCCCGUGUGUGACCCCAGUUUGACCCCUUACACCAGGUGUCGUCACGGGUGACCCCAGCAGGGGCGCCCUGUGCGUGACCCUUGUGACCCCUGACCCCUAGGUCGGAUCACGCUUUGUGGCCUGAAGCGCUUGAGCCUGGCAGGUCUGUCCGACAUCAUGGAUCUCUAUGGCCUCACUAACGAUGACUGCGAUGACUUGGAGCAGCUGUGACACCCUACUGUGUGCCCGGGAACGGUGCACAUGUGCCUACAAGGGCUUCCUCCCGAGGCCGCAGGUGACAUCGGGGGCUUAGGGCAUGGCCUCCUCCCCGUGGCCUGCGGCCCUACUGUGCACAGGGCGCUGCGCGUUAUAUUUGUGGGUUUUUUUUUUUUUUUUGAAUAAAGAGUUUGAGACAUUUUUUUCACCCCGGGACACGCAGUAAGGCUCUCGGGGGUGGGCGACUCGGUGGACAGUCAGGCUGACCUCCCACGAUCCCUCAGGAGAGUGACAAGCCCACUUCCUGUUUAGGGACCCCCCCCCCCUUCCAGUGUGAGACAAGCCCACUUCCCACACUCUUCCUCUUGUUCUCAUUGACAUGCGUGUCCCGCCCACUCGUUAGCAUAAAGCUGUUCGAUAUUGUCCGGGUAUCUCCUUAGCAUAGCUCUGCUCACCUGUUAUGCUUUCGGUUUUCUCUGCAGGAAGGCCGACUCAUUAGAAUAAAGCUCAUUAGUAUGCACGGGCAUCAUUAACACAUGCCGCCUCAUUAGCAUAGCCCCACCCACUUGUUAUAAUUUUGCUUUUUCUCUGAGAACCCCCACCUCAUUUGCAUAGGGUCCAUUAGUAUGUGCGGGUCCAUUUACAUGCACACCCUGUCCCCUCAUUAGCAUACUCCUCAUUAGUAUGCAUAGACGUCAUGAACAUAACAGGGUCGGGGUCAGGUAGGUUUAGGGUUAGGGGUUCGGGUUAGGGUUAGUGUUACAUGUGCACAUGUGUACAUGUGUGUUGGGUGUUGUAUUAGUCAGGGUUCUCUAGAGUCACAGAACUUAUGGAUAGUCUCUAGAUAGUAAAGGAAUUUAUUGAUGACUUACAGUCGGCAGCCAAUUCCCAACAAUUGUUCAGUCGCAGCUAUGAAUGGAAGUCCAAGGAUCUAGCAGUUACUCAGUCUCACACAGCAAGCAGGUGAAGGAGCAAGAGCUAGACUCCCUUCUUUCAAUGUCCUUAUAUUGUCUCCAGCAGAAGGUGUAGCCCAGAUUAAAGGUGUGUUCCUUGAACUCGGAGAUUCAAUCUUCUGGAAUCCAUAGCCACUAUGGCUCAAGAUCUCCAUACCAAGAUCCAGAUAAGGAUCUCCAAGCCUCCAGAUAAGGGUCACUGCAAUGUUUUUCCAGAAGAGUGAACGAACACUUAGCAGGGCUCAGUGGUCACACACCACAAAUUGGGAAACAAAGGAGCGGUGUCAUCAAAAACCCCCUCUGACCAAAGGUCACAUGCUUGUCCUGAUGCAGUUGAGGACACAGAGGCCGGGUGAGCGGUGCCACCUUGUGGAUGAAAGAAGUCAGCGCAUCUGAGCCGUCCUCUCCCACGGGUGCCUUGGGGGCUUCACGUCUAUGAGUGGGAGGAGAGCUGAGUCACCACACCACAGAGCUCCUCUCUCAACAGAAACCCAGCCUCAGUGUUAAAGGAAGCAGACACCCGAUUUCCUGUAAGAUUAGUGCACAUCCAGAGGACUUUCAGACUCAAGAAAACGCUUGGCGACCCAGGGCCAGUGUCUUCCAUCCAGUCCAAUAGAACAAUGCCUCGAAAUAUCCACCUAAAAUUCAUGUCAGAUGUCAUGAGUCAUCCAAGCUAAUGGCAUAGUUUAUAAAAUGCCCUAGCGAGCACUUAGUUGUUUGUGGUUGCAGGACACAAAGAAGAAAGUGCGUGUCAUGGUGGUGGCCCACUGUUAGUCCAAAGUUCAGGUAGGAGGGCAGAAGCAGGUAGAUAUCAGGGAGCAGAACAUCCUGUGUACACACAUAGUUCCAGCUAAAUACAGAGACAAGUCUUUGACUACCAAAUACAAGUUUUAGUAAUUAACAUCCAAUAUGAGCAUGUCAUUGCAGAUGUGUGUCCCUUCUGAGUGCAGUGUAAGGUCAAACUUUAUCAUGCCAAGAUAACAUUCAUGAGAAAAUAAACCAGAGACACCAAGGAGAUUAGAACAGCAGUAAUAGUCUUGGAGUAAUGGCUCAGUGGUUAAGAACACUGGCAGUUGUUCCCGGGUUCCUGAGUUCAAUUUCCAGGAACCACAUGGUGGCUCACAAUUAUCUACAGUGAGAUCUGGUGCUCUCUUCUGGCCUGCAGGCAUGCAUGCAGGCAGAAUGUUGUAUAUGUAAUCUUUUAAAAACUAAAAUAAAGUAAAUAUGUUUGGAAAGCUACAUGCAUUUUAUUUAGAAAGUACAACUACACCAGGCAGUGGUGGUGCACGCCUUUAAUCCCAGCACUCGGGAGGCAGAGGCAGGCGGAUUUCUGAGUUCGAGACCAGCCUGGUCUACAGAGUGAGUUCCAGGACAGCCAGGGCUACACAGAGAAACCCUGUCUCAAAGAAAGAAAGAAAGAAAAGAGAGAGAGAGAGAGAGAGAGAGAGAGAGAGAGAGAGAGAGAGAGAGAGAGAAAGAAAAGAAGGAAAAGAAAGAAAGGAAGUAAGAAAGAAAAGAAAGAAAGAAAAAAGUACAACUGCAUCUACUGGUAAGGAUUUUUAGUCAGUGUGUAGCCUUUGGAAAGAAGUGCUCUAUCUCUUUCUUACUUGUUUUUUUUUUUUUAAAGACAGGACCUCUCUGUGUGUUUUUUUAAAGAUAUGAGUUGGAGAGGUGGCUCAGUGGUUAAGAGCACUGACUGCUCUUCCAGAGGUCCUGAGUUCAAUUCCCAGCAACCACAUGGUGUCUCACAACCAUCUGUAAUGGGACCUGACACCCUUUUCUGGUGUGUCUGAAGACAACAGUGUACUCAUAUAAGUGAAAAAUAAAUCUUAAAAUCGCAAAACAAAAUCAGGGUCUCUUAAUGUGAUCUGGAAGCCCAAAAUGCCUUGGUUUUGCUGUGUGGACCAAUCAGACAUUGAACCUACAAGGAUCCACCUAUCCUUUUGUAUUAAACAUUAAGUAUGUGUUCUCACCACAAUGCCCAGCUGUGAAUCUACCUUUUUAAGGUUGUGGUGAGCAACUUUGCUUGUCAUUUCCCAUCACUCAAUUCUCUCUAUGUAAAUGAGAGCAUUUUUGUAAUAUUUGCUUGCGGGUAAUUCUGAUUGACUGUAUGAUCCUGACACUUUUGUGGCUCCAUUUGAAAAAAGAGGAACCCAGGGUUUUCUUUGUCUCCAAA